UACAGAGGGGGCAAGCGUUGUUCGGAAUUACUGGGCGUAAAGGGCGCGUAGGCGGCCUGUUAAGUCGAACGUGAAAUCCCCGGGCUCAACCCGGGAACUGCGUCCGAAACUGGCAGGCUUGAAUUCGGGAGAGGGAUGCGGAAUUCCAGGUGUAGCGGUGAAAUGCGUAGAUAUCUGGAGGAACAUCGGUGGCGAAGGCGGCAUCCUGGACCGAUAUUGACGCUGAGGCGCGAAAGCCAGGGGAGCAAACGGGAUUAGAAACCCCAGUAGUCC
rnacentral:rRNA from 1 species